rnacentral:tRNA from 1 species
AAAUUUAGGUUUCCAAACUAUGAGCCUUCAAAGCCCAAGACAGGGCUUGCCCUAAUUUCUG